UUCCGGGUAGCUCAGACGGUAAAGAAUCUGCCUGCAAUGCAGGAGACCCAGGUUCGAUCCUUGGGUUGGGAA
rnacentral:tRNA from 1 species